GGGCCAGCCGGGGGAACAUGUGGUUUAAUUCGAUGCAACGCGAAGAACCUUACCUACUCUUGACAUCCAGAGAACUUAGCAGAGAUGCUUUGGUGCCUUCGGGAACUCUGAGACAGGUGCUGCAUGGCUGUCGUCAGCUCGUGUUGUGAAAUGUUGGGUUAAGUCCCGCAACGAGCGCAACCCUUAUCCUUUGUUGCCAGCGAUUCGGCCGGGAACUCAAAGGAGACUGCCAGUGAUAAACUGGAGGAAGGUGGGGAUGACGUCAAGUCAUCAUGGCCCUUACGAGUAGGGCUACACACGUGCUACAAUGGCAUAUACAAAGAGAAGCGACCUCGCGAGAGCAAGCGGACCUCAUAAAGUAUGUCGUAGUCCGGAUUGGAGUCUGCAACUCGACUCCAUGAAGUCGGAAUCGCUAGUAAUCGUGGAUCAGAAUGCCACGGUGAAUACGUUCCCGGGCCUUGUACACACCGCCCGUCACACCA
rnacentral:rRNA from 1 species